CCUAAUCGCCUGCACCUGUUCGCAAUGGCAAAUUACCAUUUGGAAAAAAAGCAGAGGGCGUCUGGCCUGCAGAGGCUACAGAUGUUUAAAAAACGAACCAAAUAAUAAAACAUUAACUAAAGUAUGUGACGUUAUACGUCUCAGAGAACGCUUUUUCACGAAAAAGAAGAUUCCUGAUACCAUGACCGAUCUAUCGUGUAUUAGGCAUAUCAAAUGGGGGGAACGAUAAACCAACCUGUUAUCCUAUCACACUUUCUGUGCUAGACACAUGACGUCAUCAACAUGUUGUGUUUCAAGGGCGUGCGGUAAAAACGGUCCCAACUGAUCCCUUUGUUAUUGUUGUGGAACGUUAACAGCUGAUCGGGGAUGACGUCGCCUGCCCAGCCUAUGGGAGGGCCUUCUUGGAACUCUGCAAGCCAAUGAACUGUAGCUAUGCUCUCUGACAAACUGUCACCAACGCACGUGAUCUGCCUCAGAGCAAGACAAGACUGGGCAAAGACCUGAAGAUUUUUUGAAACAAGAGAUGGAAAGUGUAGUAAAUGUAAACCUAAAAACGA